ensembl:lncRNA
AGGAAAAAGAGAGCGCGAGGAGAGAGGGUGGUGCGUGAGUUACACGGAGUAUGUGGAGAAGUUAGCUUGUUUUUAUGUACUAGUAAGUGUGUUUUGACUUUUCGGAAAGAUAAGACACAGUGUCGGUAAGCUAGUGACAUAACACGUAAAGUUUCAGCGUGAGUCUGCUGGACUGUGUGUUUUGUUUCCUGCGGCCGUGCACGCAUUGAGUAAAAGUGAGGCUAACCCAGCCGUUCGCUAAUAAAGACUACUGUAGACUGCCGUUUUGCUAAAGUUGUGGAACGUAAAAAAGCUGCAGAGGAUCGUUACCGAACUGGAUAGCGACAGACGGACCCCAGAUAGUCACUCUGAGUGCCCGCGUCACUCUGAGUACCUCUGGCAACGUGGGAAGCUAAAACAGGUAGCUUGUGGAGAUCACGGACCCUCCUCAUCUUUGUGCUACUGCAUUCAAUUAUUUUAUCACUGGUGGUUUACACUGUAUAUGAGGAGAUUCUGUGUACAGCUGGUAAAUUGCUGUGUGUGUUUUGCUUUGCCUGAAUACUGAAACCUGCCAUUUUAUUAUUUUAUUGUUUUCAUUGUUUGGCAAAUUAAAGGAGGGUUACAUUGCUCUACAAUGUGUAUGACAUGAUUUACUGCACUGUAGACACUAGUGUUAAUUUUCGCGUGUAGUGGUACUGUUAAGGAAUAAGCUUCAUUGAUCCCAAAAAACAAAAGAGAAGUUAAUUUAAGAAUACGAGAGUACACCAUGAAGUCUUUCCUACCAAUGUGUAUCUGGUAUAAUUGAUGAAGGUAAAUGCUACACUGAAGGUAAUGUUUCUCACUUGGUGCCUAAAGCGUUAUGUACAAAUGCGUAUGUUACUGGUAUUGUGUCUCACAUUGUAAUUGUUUUUGUUUUUAUACUCAUGUAUAAUGUAUUCUGGUUUGCUGAAGGGCACCCGGGGAGUUUUUGGUGCUUAUACGCUUAUGUCUUCUUUUGUGAUAAAUAAUCCAAGUUUAAUCUACAAACGGGUGAGUUUGCCUAUGGCAACACAAAUAAA